AUGGCGUCGCGAUUCCUAGCCCGAUCCAAAACCCUAGCUCUCGCCCUCUCCCGCGCGGAUGCGGCGCCGGCGCCCCUGGCUGGAUCCCGCGCGCUCUCCUCCCUCCCGCGCCGCCCCGCCACCGCCGCCCCGUCCCCGGCGAUUGGAUCCCCUCCUGGCCUCAGCAAGGUUCUGGGACAUGAGCCAACAUCACACCUCAGCGGCACACAAUUUUUACCGCGUUGGUUUUCUACUGCAGCAUCCAAUGGAUCUCCCAUGCAGAAUACACAGGUCUCAGAGACAUGCAAGCCAGUUGCUGGAACGGGACACUCUGAUGCACUAAAAGCGACUGAAGGAGCCUUCCCUAAAUUCACGGCAUUCAGCCCACUAGAAGCAGCUGCUAAACCUAGAAGCAGUCCGUUGACAAGUGAAAGUUCUAAAGUCAGGCGAUCAGAGAUAUUAACAGGAGUAACCUUUUACAUGAUCCCAGCUCUGCUUCUUUCCUCAAGGAACAGCAUCAGUACAUCUCUUAUGGUCGCGGCGGUAUACCAUCAAAUCUACAUGUUCCACAAGGAGAUCUUUCUGGACUAUGUGCACCACGACAUUACCAGGAAGUGGGCUUUGAUAUACUUCAAGCUGCUUCUGCUGGUCAUGGCAAAGGACACCAUCGUGUACUUCGGUUUGGUCUGA
rnacentral:rRNA from 1 species